rnacentral:rRNA from 1 species
CAGGUCAGCAUACUGCCGUGAAUACGUUCCCGGGCCUUGUACACACCGCCCGUCACACCAUGAGAGUUGGGAAUACCCGAAGCCUGUGAGCUAACGUUAAGAGGCAGCAGUCGAAGGUAGAAUCAAUGAUUGGGGGUGAAGUCGUAACAAGGUACC